GAGUGAAAUGAUGUUUUACCAUCUUUCGGGACUUACUCAUUAAUGGGGAUAACUUUUUCCUAACUGAUCGCUC